UACGUAGGUGGCGAGCGUUGUCCGGAUUUACUGGGCGUAAAGAGCGCGCAGGCGGCUGGUCAAGUCCGAUGUGAAAGCUCCCGGCUUAACUGGGAAACGGCAUCGGAAACUGAUCGGCUUGAAGGUGGGAGAGGGUAGCGGAAUUCCCGGUGUAGUGGUGAAAUGCGUAGAUAUCGGGAGGAACACCAGUGGCGAAGGCGGCUACCUGGCCCAUUCUUGACGCUGAGGCGCGAAAGCUAGGGGAGCAAACGGG
rnacentral:rRNA from 1 species